UGAGGAACAUGACUUUCGGCGGGGGAUAGCCGGCCCAACGGCCGGGUAAUACCGCGUACGACCUUUUGGGGACAUCCCCGAUUGGUGAAAGCAGCAAUGCGCCGAAAGAGUGCCUCGCGGCCUAUCAGCUAGUUGGUGGGGUAAUGGCUCACCAAGGCGACGACGGGUAGCUGGUCUGAGAGGAUGGCCAGCCACAUUUGGACUGAGACACGGCCCAGACUCCGUACGGGAGCAG
rnacentral:rRNA from 1 species